rnacentral:rRNA from 1 species
UACAGAGGGUGCGAGCGUUGUCCGGAAUCACUGGGCGUAAAGGGCGCGUAGGCGGCCUGAUAAGUAGGAGGUGAAAUCUUGCGGCUCAACCGCAAGGCUGCCUUCUAAACUGUCAGGCUGGAGCACGGUAGAGGCAGAUGGAAUUCCCGGUGUAGCGGUGGAAUGCGUAGAGAUCGGGAAGAACACCAGUGGCGAAGGCGGUCUGCUGGGCCGUUGCUGACGCUGAGGCGCGACAGCGUGGGGAGCAAACAGG